rnacentral:rRNA from 1 species
GGGACACGUGAAAUCCUGGUUGAAGAUGGGUGGACCAUCAUCCAAGGCUAAAUACUACUUACUGACCGAUAGUGAACCAGUACCGUGAGGGAAAGGUGAAAAGAACCCCGGAGAGGGGAGUGAAAUAGAAUCUGAAACCGUUUGCGUACAAGCAGUGGGAGCAUGGUUUAGGCUGUGUGACUGCGUACCUUUUGUAUAAUGGGUCAGCGAGUUACUUUCAGUGGCGAGGUUAACUGAAUAAGGGAGCCGUAGAGAAAUCGAGUCUGAAUAGGGCGAUAGUCGCUGGGAGUAGACCCGAAACCGGGCGAUCUAGCCAUGUGCAGGAUGAAGGUUGGGUAACACCAACUGGAGGUCCGAACCGGGUAAUGUUGAAAAAUUAUCGGAUGACGUGUGGCUAGGAGUGAAAGGCUAAUCAAGCCCGGAGAUAGCUGGUUCUCCCCGAAAGCUAUUUAGGUAGCGCCUCGUGAAUGAUUACUGGGGGUAGAGCACUGUUUCGGCUAGGGGGCUGUCAUGGCUUACCAAACCGAUGCAAACUCCGAAUACCGGCUAAUUGGAUCACGGGAGACACACGGCGGGUGCUAACGUCCGUCGUGGAGAGGGAAACAACCCAGACCGCCAGCUAAGGUCCCCAAGUACUAGUUAAGUGGGAAACGAUGUGGGAAGGCAUAGACAGCCAGGAGGUUGGCUUAGAAGCAGCCACCCUUUAAAGAAAGCGUAAUAGCUCACUGGUCGAGUCGGCCUGCGCGGAAGAUGUAACGGGGCUAAAACUAGUCACCGAAGCUGCGGAUGUGCGCGAAGGCGCACGUGGUAGGGGAGCGUUCUGUAGGCUGAUGAAGGUGCAUUGAGAAGUGUGCUGGAGGUAUCAGAAGUGCGAAUGCUGACAUGAGUAACGAUAAUGUGGGUGAAAAGCCCACACGCCGGAAGUCCCAGGUUUCCUGCACGACGUUAAUCGGAGCAGGGUGAGUCGGCCCCUAAGGCGAGGCUGAAGAGCGUAGUCGAUGGGAACCAGGUUAAUAUUCCUGGACUUUUUAUAAGUGGUGAAGUGGGGACGAAGAAGGCUAGGUGAGCCAGGCGUUGGUUGUCCUGGUACUUGCAUGUAGGGGGGAAGACUUGGCAAAUCCGGUUUUCCAUAACUCUGAGGUGCGAAGUGGUUCUGACCUUUUGGUACAGAGAAGUCAUUGAUGCCCGGCUUCCAGGAAAAGCUGCUAGCCAUAACUUAUAGAGAACCGUACCGCAAACCGACACAGGUGGACAGGUAGAGAAUACUAAGGCGCUUGAGAGAACUCGGGUGAAGGAACUAGGCAAAAUGGUACCGUAACU